rnacentral:rRNA from 1 species
UAAGACAGAGGGUGCAAACGUUGUUCGGAAUUACUGGGCGUAAAGCGCGUGUAGGCGGUUCGGUAAGUCGGAUGUGAAAGCCCGGGGCUCAACCUCGGAAGUGCAUUCGAUACUACCGUACUAGAGUACUGGAGAGGAUGGUGGAACUCUCGGUGUAGAGGUGAAAUUCGUAGAUAUCGAGAAGAACACCGGUGGCGAAGGCGGCCAUCUGGACAGAUACUGACGCUGAGACGCGAAAGCGUGGGGAGCAAACAGG